GCAGUAGCCGCGGGAAUACGUAGGUGGCAAGCGUUGUCCGGAAUUAUUGGGCGUAAAGGGCUCGCAGGCGGUUUCUUAAGUCUGAUGUGAAAGCCCCCGGCUCAACCGGGGAGGGUCAUUGGAAACUGGGAAACUUGAGUGCAGAAGAGGAGAGUGGAAUUCCACGUGUAGCGGUGAAAUGCGUAGAGAUGUGGAGGAACACCAGUGGCGAAGGCGACUCUCUGGUCUGUAACUGACGCUGAGGAGCGAAAGCGUGGGGAGCGAACAGGAUUAGAUACCCCAGUAGUCCCUGUCUCUUAUAC
rnacentral:rRNA from 1 species